UAGGGAAUCUUCCACAAUGGACGCAAGUCUGAUGGAGCAACGCCGCGUGAGUGAAGAAGGUCUUCGGAUCGUAAAGCUCUGUUGUUGGUGAAGAAGGAUAGAGGCAGUAACUGGUCUUUAUUUGACGGUAAUCAACCAGAAAGUCACGGCUAACUACGUGCCAGCAGCCGCGGUAAUACGUAGGUGGCAAGCGUUGUCCGGAUUUACUGGGCGUAAAGCGAGCGCAGGCGGAAUGAUAAGUCUGAUGUGAAAGCCCACGGCUCAACCGUGG
rnacentral:rRNA from 1 species